GACAGAGGGGCAAGCGUUGCUCGGAAUUACUGGGCGUAAAGGGCGCGUAGGCGGGAUGGCAAGUCGGUCGUGAAAUCCCUCGGCUCAACCGAGGAACGUCGAUCGAUACUGCUGUUCUUGAGGAUUGCAGAGGAGACUGGAAUUCCCGGUGUAGCGGUGAAAUGUGUAGAGAUCGGGAGGAACACCCGGUGGCGAAGGCGGGUCUCUGGGCAAUUCCUGACGCUGAGGCGCGAAAGCCAGGGGAGGCAAACGGG
rnacentral:rRNA from 1 species